CGCAAAGAGGCCCCUGAUAUAGCCUGGCUAGGUCACUCCAAACCAAACAAACUCUUCCUUUCUCUUUCCCUUUCUUUCUCUCUCAAUCUCUGUUCAUCCGGCUCUUUCUCAUUACUAGUCCUCCAGAAGAAACGUUACCAAAAUCAUAUGGGUUUGGAGAAAUUUGACCGAGCUGGAGCGGUAACAUGCCCGGAAUAUUUGUAAUCAAGAAGCAGGUUAUAAUUUCUGAUGAGCACAUCUCUUGUGGCCAUAGUUAAUGUAUUUCCUUUGUGAGUUGGUAUUUUCUUCCCCCUCACUUCCUGACCGAGAGAGCAGCAAAUUUUAACAUAACGAAGUUCUUGAUAUGGGCUAUCAACAUAUUCUAUUUUCAUCUUGAUAAUUUCUUCAUUCACUCAAGACAUAUUCGUCCAAAUUGGCUACCAAUUACAGGAGCAUUUUUUUUUUGGCAAGGACAAGUAGAAACCAGCUGCGAAUUCAACAGGCUGGAAGCUGGAUAUGGAUAGGAAGAGAGUUUGUGUCCACUACUAAGCUCCUAUAUCAGGCAUAGCUCCUAAAAUCCAGCGGAUUUUGCCCAGAAGGUAAAGAUUCUGAUCAUUGGAGGAAGGUGGGGUCGAUGCUUGCUAGAUUUGGAAAUGCUGGACCAGCCAUGUGAGGCCUCGGUGGAAAGGGAGGAUGUCAUUUUGCUAUUUGGAUGAAACCAUGAACCAGAUUAUUCGAUACUCGUUCGAAUUAAACUCACUGUAACGAGAGUUCGUUCGAACUUGGUUCGCUGAUUAGUCAAGUCACACUCAUUGUAAUAAGAACUCGUUCGAACUUGAUUCGCUGAUUAGUCAAGUCAAAUUUGAAUAACGUUUUUAUUCCUUAAUAUUCAAGUUCAAUAAAAUAUUAGUUCAAACUUGAUUUGACAAA